AUACGGAGGAUCCGAGCGUUAUCCGGAUUUAUUGGGUUUAAAGGGUGCGCAGGCGGCCAUUUAAGUCAGCGGUUAAAUCGUGGGGCUCAACCCCAUUCUGCCGUUGAUACUGGGUGGCUUGAUUGCGGUCGAGGUUGGCGGAAUUCGUUGUGUCGCGGUUAAAUGCAUAGAUAUGACGAAGAACACCGAUUGCGUAGGCAGCUGACCAGACCGCAAAUGACGCUCAUGCACGAAAGUGCGGGGAUCGAACAGGAUUAGAUACCCUGGUAGUCCGCACAGUAAACGAUGAAUACUUGUUUUCGGCGAUAUAAUGUCGGAGGCAAAGCGAAAGCGAUAAGUAUUCCACCUGGGGAGUACGCCGGCAACGGUGAAACUCAAAGGAAUUGACGGG
rnacentral:rRNA from 1 species